CCUACGGGGUGCAGCAGUGGGGAAUAUUGGACAAUGGGCGAAAGCCUGAUCCAGCCAUGCCGCGUGUGUGAAGAAGGCCUUCGGGUUGUAAAGCACUUUCAGUGGGGAAGAAAGCCUUGGGGCUAAUACCCUCGAGGAAGGACAUCACCCACAGAAGAAGCACCGGCUAACUCCGUGCCAGCAGCCGCGGUAAUACGGAGGGUGCGAGCGUUAAUCGGAAUUACUGGGCGUAAAGCGCGCGUAGGCGGUCUGAUAAGCCGGUUGUGAAAGCCCCGGGCUCAACCUGGGAACGGCAUCCGGAACUGUCAGGCUAGAGUGCAGGAGAGGAAGGUAGAAUUCCCGGUGUAGCGGUGAAAUGCGUAGAGAUCGGGAGGAAUACCAGAGGCGAAGGCGGCCUUCUGGACUGACACUGACGCUGAGGUGCGAAAGCGUGGGUAGCAAACAGGAUUAGAUACCCUAGUAGUC
rnacentral:rRNA from 1 species